GACGAACGCUGGCGGCGUGCCUAAUACAUGCAAGUAGAACGCUGAAGGAGGAGCUUGCUCUUCUGGAUGAGUUGCGAACGGGUGAGUAACGCGUAGGUAACCUGCCUGGUAGCGGGGGAUAACUAUUGGAAACGAUAGCUAAUACCGCAUAACAGUAGAUGUUGCAUGACAUUUACUUAAAAGGUGCAAUUGCAUCACUACCAGAUGGACCUGCGUUGUAUUAGCUAGUUGGUGGGGUAACGGCUCACCAAGGCGACGAUACAUAGCCGACCUGAGAGGGUGAUCGGCCACACUGGGACUGAGACACGACCCAGACUCCUACGGGAGGCAGCAGUAGGGAAUCUUCGGCAAUGGACGGAAGUCUGACCGAGCAACGCCGCGUGAGUGAAGAAGGUUUUCGGAUCGUAAAGCUCUGUUGUAAGAGAAGAACGAGUGUGAGAGUGGAAAGUUCACACUGUGACGGUAUCUUACCAGAAAGGGACGGCUAACUACGUG
rnacentral:rRNA from 1 species